rnacentral:rRNA from 1 species
AGUGAACGCUGGCGGUAGGCCUAACACAUGCAAGUCGAACGGCAGCACAGUAAGAGCUUGCUCUUACGGGUGGCGAGUGGCGGACGGGUGAGGAAUACAUCGGAACCUACUUUUUCGUGGGGGAUAACGUAGGGAAACUUACGCUAAUACCGCAUACGACCUACGGGUGAAAGCAGGGGAUCUUCGCACCUUGCGCGACUGAAUGAGCCGAUGUCGGAUUAGCUAGUUGGCGGGGUAAAGGCCAACCAAGGCGACGAUCCGUAGCUGGUCUGAGAGGAUGAUCAGCCACACUGGAACUGAGACACGGUCCAGACUCCUACAGGAGGCAGAAGUGGGGAAUAUUGGACAAUGGGCGCAAGCCUGAUCCAGCCAUACCGCGUGGGUGAAGAAGACCUUCGGGUUCUAAAGCCCUUUUGUUGGGAAAGAAAAGCAGCAGGUUAAUACCACGCUGAUCUGACGGUACCCAAAGAAUAAGCACCGGCUAACUUCGUG